UGACCUGUGGCUGUUUGCAGGCUGGUGGUGGUCGACGUGGCCUUCUACACGGAGAACAUCCAGGCGCUGAAGAGCCUCGAGCGACUCGACCUGAACAUGGCUGAGAUCUGGGAGCAGAAGAGGUGAUGUAGGACGGAGUCUGGACGUCAUGGACUGACCGACCCGGCGACGGGGGCCGACCUCAGGGGCCGAUGGCGGCCGGCUGACAGUGGAGGAGGCCCAGAGGGACCAAAACUACAAAACUGGGAGAAGAGCAGCAGCAGCAUGCCAGAACUCCAACAGCUUCAACGACUUGAUAAAGUUCCACACAGAGCCUCCUAAAAACUGCUGCCACCUCAUCUCACUGUGUGCAAUCGGACAGAAAUACUAGUAAAUUAUUAGACAGUUUUAUUGCAGCACACUGCAGGGUGUGGAAGAUGUUGAAGACAUGGAGGGGUAAUUUAUUUUUCUGACUUCUGGAGAAACAUUCUAUACUGUGGCAGACUUUUCUUUUUCCUUGGGCCCGGGAUGUUGAGGCUGAAAGGAUUUUUAUCGCCAACACUGAAAAUGAGCUUUUAUGUCACUGAUUUUGUGGACUUCAGGGAAACUUCACAGCUGAAGAUAGAAAGUUCAGGGGAUAAAAUGAUUCAGUCUGAAAAGAUGAUUUUCCUCUUCACUGCUCCAAACAAAUCUACAGGGUUCCUGUUUCCCAAAUCACUCUGAUCAGCUGCACACAACACGGACAUUUUUAUACUCAGAACAAGGAUUUUUUUCCAGACUUGUUGUGUUGAACCCUGGAGGAGGAUGAACCCUGGAGGAGGAGGAACCCUGGAGGAGCAGCAGCUGGGAGAAAUGUCUCACUGAAGAGUUGAAUUCCUGUAAAAUUUGAAAUAAACCAAUCAGCUCUCAGCUACAUCCUGAUGUUGCCAAAGUGAAGUGGUUUCUAAUCUAGGAAUUCAACUCUUCUGAUCCAUUUCCCUCCUCAACAGUCAAUCAUGCUUCAGGUCUCCUUCAGGCUCAGUCUUUGUGAUGAAUCAGAAGAUAAUUUUAAUAUCAGUGAAGAGAGUUUGCAGAAUGUGAAGCAUGAAUAUCAGCUGUUGUUCCUUCUGCUGUGGUUUGAUUUCAUGUGCAUGAGCUUUUAGUUUCGUCCGAGGCUGAAACAACAGAACAGAACAGAAAAUCUGAUUUAUUUUUACUUCAUUAAUGUCUAAAUGGAAUAAUCCCAGGACAUGUGAAGAAAAAGCUGCAAGGAUCAAACAUCCAAACUGGUCAAAUUGGUUUUAAAACAGGCUUUUCAAAGACAGACACGGAUAAAACGGAGUGUUGCAGUUCAGUUGUCUUCAGAUUAGACAGUAUUCUAACACUUAUGAGCUUGUGAUUGGCAUUCUAACUUUAUAAAUUUGCACAAAAUUAAGUUUUUGAAUCCACUUUCCUUCUACAGUGUUGUGCUGUUUCCACUGAGGUGCAGGACUUUAUAUUGACACCGUUAAACUGUUUGGAGUUCAGAGAGUUAACCUGCAUCCCUUCCUCUUUCUCUACUGAUUGGGACUCGUUCACAGCUCUCCUCCUGUUCUCCACACUGCAGGUUUCUUCAAACAUUAGAUUUUCUCUUCCGACCUGAAGUUCAGCCGCUCUGAGCUCCGACCAGACAAAAAGAAAAAAACAGAUGCGUUCACGUCCGUCUCUGCUCCAGUGUGAGCACUACAGGCUGGAGGUGGUUCUGUUCCAACAUCUGACUUCCACCAGACAGCUGCUCUCCUGGUUUGUGUUUUUAUAUUACAGAGAUUUUAACCAGAGAAUAGCUGCUUGUUUUUUCAGAUGUUGUUAUGGAAAAGUGCUAAAUCAUCCCUAAUUAGUAUCCCGACAUAACGGAUAAAUCAAAUGACCGCGGCCAGAGACGCAGGUUGAAGUGAGUAAAGUGAGUGGAGGUGUGACGUGACGCAGCUGAACAAAACCAUGAAUGAUCAUCACUGUCUGCUUCAGAAGUGCCUACUGUUGAUCGACUGUCAGACGACACAUCUGAGCUCUACAGUGUGCCUACCUACCACUGUGUGAGUGUGUGAGAGAGAGAGGGAGUGUGAAUGAGUUUGGGUGAGCUGGGCAGUGUGUGUGUGUGUCUCCAAAAUAUGUUGAAUCCUUAAAACCUGCUGUGAAUAAAACAGGAUGACGGAGCGACUCGUCUGUUUGUCGGCUGCUGGGUAAGCAAAUCGAGCGCACCGUCUCUACAACCUGCAAUAAUCUGUGUACGGGGCUCCGCACCCUACGUGAUGUUCCUAAAGAGCUGCAGCCCUGCACACAUAUCAGGACACUUUUCAAGAACAGCUGAGAGGUGUAGGCUACUACUAAGCGAGAGGUCAACUAUGGAUACUCGGCUGUGAGAAUUUUUGAUGGAGCGAAACUUGAAGAUGAGAAUAUGCACAAUGAGGGACGUCUGCAGAGACUGAGAAAGAGUCUCACCACAUCCUGACAUGAGGAAAAAGACUUUAUUGAAGACUACAAUGAGAAAAACUAUCAGACAGCAGACGGCUGCAUUCAAGUCUGUAGCUGCUGAAUUCAUGGAUGAAUCAUCUGGCACUAGAGAAGAAGACCAUCAAACAUCCACAUCAGCUGAUGGAGGUCCAAGAGUCUCACCAAACAACCAACCUACAGAGUGAAGACCUCGAAUCUGAUUGGACGGCCUCCUAUUCAGCCACAUGUGUGAACAAAUGCCUCUAAGUUGAUUUGUUUUCUAAAAUAAAUCUAGUUUGAGUCCUAA